rnacentral:lncRNA from 1 species
AUCCUUUCCCACCUCCAUAUAAAAUAUUCAAUUAUAGAAACUCUACCCUAAGUUUUCAAUCCCUAGACCUAGAUUACGCAGAAGACGGCAGCCAUGAAUUUUUGAAUCCCUGAACUCUAAAGCAAGAAAACGGCAGACCCACCACACAAAAGGAGACCAAAUUCCCAAAAAGCACGUCUUAAUGAAAUCCUAAUUCCUACGCCAAAAGCACUACAUUGAGAAAUGACGUCACGCCUAACUCUUUUGUACCUAAUAAAAUCCUAAUGGGUUGAUCAACAAAUUGCAAAUAAGACAUGUUGGCAAUUUGUUCGUUUGAUGGACUUGGAUGAUUUUUAUUCAUCGAAAUUUGGUGAAAUUUGGUGAGGAUUGUUAUACACGCAUUAGUGGGGAAUUCAGUCGUAAAUUGAAGCAAGCUACGUUGAACAAGUUCAACAAUGAGGGAAAUGGGACUGGAGGAGAAUCGAUAUAUGCAAAGAGCAAGAGUGUGCGUCCGAGUCAAUUUCUCGAUCUGUUCUGACUCGUUCGCUCAUUCAUUCGUCUGCAUUUUGUAAUCAGUUGUCACAUAUUUGAGGUUUUAGUUUAUCGUUUGACUGAGGUCGAUUUGGGUUUCGAGCUUUUCGAUGUCGAUUCGAGGUUCCGAUUUGUAAUUCGGUGUUUCGGUCCAAGAAUUAUUGCUUUGUUUAGCCCGAUUGACUUGCAAUUUUCAGCUUUGUUCAUCAAUAAAAGGUUCAUUUCUCAAUUUUCAUUCUCAUUUUAUUGUGUUAUGAUAGCUUGGUACANNNNNNNNNNNNNNNNNNNNNNNNNCGAUUGUGAUGUAUCUCGUCUAGUCUUGGUUCUUGAAUAAAUGCUUUUAAUUGGGUAGAUGGAAAAUUGGAGUUGUUCCUUUCUUGACAAGAAAUAAGAAUACGCCAUAAGGUGGGUUUUGAGCCAUAAGGAAUCUGGCCAAGUAAUAGAUCAUGUUAGUUAGCUUAUUUGCUCCCCAAUAAUAUCUUGUCCAUAAAUGUGGUAUCACAAUAAUCUCAAAAGAUUAAGAAGAAUUAUGAAUAGUACGCUUUAGACACAUUUUAAAUUUAUUAUCGUGAUUAUGUAUACAUUCCUGUAACAUAAUUAUGAAUUUCGUUCUAAAAAUAAAUCGAGGUAUGCGUUCACGCAACUUCGGCCAAACUUUCUUAAUAAUUAAUAAAGCGUGAUUAAUUGUGGACACGUACGCGUGACAUGAUUUUUGACGCGCCAAACGAAAUGAGUACACGUACGCGUGACUCAAUUCUUUAAUUACGAAUAAUCAAGCAAUUAAAAGCGGUAAAAGGUAGAUGCGCAUAGAUUCUAAAAUAAGUAAUUAAACAAUUUAAUUUAGCCAAGUAUGAUUAAAGUGAUCGUGCUAAAACCACGGAACUCGGGAAUGCCUAACACCUUCUCCCGGGUUAACAGAAUUCCUUACCCGGAUUUCUGUGUUUCGCGGACUGUAAAACAGAGUCAAACUUCCUCGAUUCUGGAUUUUAAACCGGUGACUUGGACACCAUAAAUCAUCACAGCUUUGUGCCAGAAAAUGAGAAGGCCAAAUGCAUGAUAUUUUCACCAUUGCUCUACGCAUAGGCAUAAGACUUGCAACAAGGACAGAGGUGGAUCCAGGAUUUGAAACUUAUGGGUUCCUACAUCAGACUUCAAAUAAAUUUACUAUAGUAACUGGGUCCACAAUCAAAUAUUUAGAGAUAUUUAGUAAAUUUCUUAAAAUUAAGUAGAGUCUGAGCAAAAGCUACUGGGUUCCCAUAAACCGUAGGUCAAACUCUAGAUAACAAGCCAUCUUAAGGUUCACUAAAUCAUCGCUAUCCCAAAACAUGAGUAGAAGCGCUCUCAAACAUUUCAAGAAAAUAUUGGAGACAAAGAUUGACUAUGAUACUAGUGUACCUUUAUAGGUACAAAACAACCAGAAAGAGAUGAAUCUCGAGGUAAGAUCCCUGGCUCUCCUUGUUUCCUUCUCAAGUCGACCACUUUGUUUGCCACAAAAGCUAUGUCUAGAAUUUGCCUUCCUUCCACGAACGCUCCUCAGAGGUAGGCAAUGUCUCGUCUAAGACCUUCUUUAGUCGACUAGAAAGCACUUCAGAGAUUAUCUUUUAGAUGCUUCCAACUAGACUUCUAUUACCUGUAAUCCUUGAUGUUCGUCCCUCGCUCCUUUUUCAGUAUGAUGACAAUGAAGGAUGCAUUGAGGCUUCUUUCAAAUUCUCCGGUCUCUUGGAAUGCAGCAAUGGUUCCAUCACCUCUCCUUCGGUCGUACUGCAAUAUUGUUGGAAGAAAGUCUAGGUGAAGUUGUCCUGUCCCGAGGCCUUAUUACCCGAACAACUCUCCAAUACCUCCCUCACCUAACUUCCUUCCUUAAUCGCUCUCUUCAACCACUCCCUCUUAUCUUAUCCUAUUUGAUUGAACACUAUUCCUCUCAACUUUGGUCUCCUACUCAUCCCCUCUUUAGAAAAGCAUGCAUAGAAUCCCACAAUUUCCCUUCUUACCUCAUCCUCAUCGUCGAAGCCCAGAGGAAGGACUUAAAAUUAUGAGCAAGCAUUUUCGGUGGGGAUACAUGGAAAAUCAUGAUUUCACACAAAUGUCCGAAACCAAUAUAUGUUGAUAAAAACAAAGACAUAAACUGGUCACAGAGUAAUAUCCAGUGACUUGAAAAGAACUAAAGAAGGUGAAAUUUUUUGGGAGUUUGCACAAAAACAGUAAUAAAGAGGGGAAAGUGAAGUAAAUUGGAGAACCAAUCUCGUAUAUCAUUUAUGCAUCCAAUGUUCAACAUGAUGUAUUCUUCAUCAUUUACACACAGGGAAGCUGAUAGUUUUAACAGAAUGGACAAUUACUAUUCUUUUUUCCAUUUAAACUAUUCUUUACACUGGCAUGGGAUAUAUAAUCUCAUGUCUUUACACAGGGAAACUUAUUGUUUUAACAGAAUGGACGAUUACUAUCUUUUCAUUUAAACUAUUCUUUACACUGGCAUGGAUGUACAAUCUCAUGUCCUUAAUCGAGUCUUUGGCUGGAGCGCUUGUGACAUGGCGCGCAAUCUGUUUGUUAUCUGUGUAAAUGAUGGUCUUGCUUCUGGAUCAGGUGACCAGCACUCUUCCAUCAAUUUUCUCCACUCAGAAUCACAACGUUGUGGGACGGGAGGUCUGAGUGUGUUAUUUACAAUCCCACCUUCAUCCACAAAUUAUAAAAUUACUUCAAUCUCAAGCUUGUCCAGAGAGUCUCAAAUUGUCGUGCAGCAAAGAAAAACAUACUAUAUGUAGAUCUCCAUGUGCGAUGAAUUGUGUCUUACAAUGCAAAAAAUAUGAAAGGACAAAAUACUCCCUCUGUCGCAAAAAGAAUGGAGGCGCAAGGUCAAUGCAUCUAAAUUCUUGUGAAAAUUGAGGUAUUGAUUCCAUUUACAUAUUCAGAAACUACAUAAAUAUACCAUAAAGCACAAAUGUUUAUAGUGAUAAAUAGAAACUGUUUUUCUAUUCCCAAGUUGUAAUAGAGCCAUAUUGGGAUAGAGGGCGUGCUACUUUUAGUGAAAGGACAGGAAACUACAUUUCAGAAAUUCAAAACCACUGUCCUCUUAUUGGUCUUGCCACUAAAUCCAUUAACAAUUUUGAACACAUCUCAGGAAACUAUGGAUAGAUCUAAUGAAGUUCCAGAUUACUUAAAUUUUAUUUGGUAAACAUGACAGCAACAUAGUUUCUUCUAUAAUCAUCAGCUUAUGGAAGGCUAAACCAAAUUGUCAAAAGACAGAACAUCCUAUAAGAAUGUAACUCUGCAGUUAUUGACAGUGUAAAUACGUGCUUUAUCAUCGAAAGGAAACUGCAAGUCUAUUCUUAAAAUUCCAUAAUUAAGUACUAAAUUAGAAGCUUACCGAUAAUAGCACCACAAUGCAGGUUUGCAUAAGGCUCCUCUCCUGUCAAGAUCUCCCACAUUGUGAUGCCAAAUGAAAACACGUCAACC